UACAGAGGGUGCGAGCGUUAAUCGGAAUUACUGGGCGUAAAGCGCGCGUAGGCGGCUUUGCAAGUCGGGUGUGAAAUCCCCAGGCUUAUCCUGGGAACUGCAUUCGAGACUGCAUUGCUAGAGUAUGGGAGAGGGAAGUGGAAUUUCCGGUGUAGCGGUGAAAUGCGUAGAUAUCGGAAGGAACAUCAGUGGCGAAAGCGACUUCCUGGACCAAUACUGACGCUCAUGUGCGAAAGCGUGGGGAGCAAACAGG
rnacentral:rRNA from 1 species